CCUACGGGAGGCAGCAGUAGGGAAUUUUCGUCAAUGGGCGCAAGCCUGAACGAGCGAUGCCGCGUGAGUGAAGAAGGCUUUCGGGUUGUAAAGCUCUGUUGCGGGGGAAAAAAGGCAGCAUCAGGAAAUGGGUGCUGACUGAUGGUGCCCCGCCAGAAAGUCCCGGCUAACUACGUGCCAGCAGCUUCGGUAAUACGUAGGUGGCGAGCGUUAUCCGGAUUGAUUGGGCGUAAAGGGUGCGCAGGCGGUCCUGCAAGUCAGGAGUGAAACACAUGGGCUCAACUCAUGCAUGGCUUGGGAAACUGGAGGACUGGAGAGCAGGAGAGGGAGGUGGAACUCCAUGUGUAGCGGUAAAAUGCGUAGAUAUAAGGAGGAACACCAGUGGCGAAGGCGGCCGCCUGGACUGUUGCUGACGCUGAGGCACGAAAGCGUGGGGAGCAAAUAGGAUUAGAUACCCCGGUAGUC
rnacentral:rRNA from 1 species